AAGCGAUCCAUCCACCUCGACCUCCGAAGUUCUGGGAUUAUAGUUUACAAGGGCUGGGGGAUCCUCUGACAGAGUUGCCCAUGUGCUCACCGCUGCUGUUGGACAAAUGAAGCCUGGAUGUGAAAGGGGUGUGAUGUGGGAGAGGCCAUCACACAAGAAGAAGCAGCUGUUUUCAUUGUGUUGUGUCUGAAGUUAUAGCAAGACAUUCAGAAGCAGGGACAAAGCGUUUGCAUUUGGCAAAGACACAGAGUCUCUUUGUAGGUGUUGCUGCUACCACCCUGAUGAAGCACUUUAGUGGGCCCCCCAUCGGAGUGUUGUUGCCAGCAGACUGGGAGGGAACACCUCGACCUUCCCAGUGCAGCGGGUUCCUAACUUCAAGGGGACAGAGAACAAAGCUGGGGAUGUGGUACUAGCCCCCCGGCAUUAGCUCAUGCAGCCCAAGAGUGAUGAGCUGAGCCCUGGUCCCCUGAAUUCUCCCUGAAACAAAGCCAGUCAACUGAUUCUACCUUAUACCACAAUCAAACCCUCAAGAGCAUCAAGUAAUAAAAAAGCAAAAAAUCCCAAUCCAAAGGACAUCAAAAUCAAAGGUUAAUGGAACAUCAUCCUACACCGAUAAGGAAAAAAACAGCACAAGAACUCUGGCUACUCAAAAAGCCAGACUGUUUUCUUACCUCCAAACAACCACACUCAUUCCACAGGAAUGGUUGUUAAGCAGACUGAACUGGCUGAAAUGACAGGUAUAGAAUUCAGAAUCUGGAUAGGAACGAAGAUCACUGAGAUUCAGAAGAAUGCCAAAACGCAAUCCAAAAAAACCUAAGGAAUCCAAUAAAACAAUACAAGACAUGAAAGAUGAAAUAGUCUUCAUAAGAAAGAAUCAAACUGAGUUGAUAGAGCUGAAUUUCACAAUACAAUCACAAGUAUUAACAGCAGAA
rnacentral:lncRNA from 1 species